AGGUCGUCCUCCUAUUGGAAAUAUAUGUUGACCACGAAUGCUUCCGCAUACCCAACUGGACUUGCACCAGUCACUGCCACAAAAAGAUCAAGCUCUCGACGAUGCUUCAACCUGGUGCCAGAUGAAUGCAUGGCGAUUGAAAACCACUGGGAGAAUCGGAAUUUCCAGCUUGAUUCCCUUCACGUCCAUGCAAUCAUAAAGCCCAUUUGUGCGGUAUCUUGCCAUGAAUAACAUGAUAGCUUCAUGUGGACGGUUGACACUCCACCCAGUAUGUUACAAGGCUAAAGGAUCUUGUUUGGUUGGGGAGAAAGUGUAGGGAAAUGGAAGGAACCAAAAUCUUUGAACACUGCAUGGUCUCAAAUUUUGGGGUUCUUCAAGAAUAAGAUAACUUGUCUGGUUCUGUUUUUUCUUGGUUUUGUAUGGAACCAAAUAGAGGAGUGAGAAAAUUGCUGUUCUCGGUUAAUGGACGUGAAGAUCAUCAAGUUGGAAAUUUGCGAUUCACCCGGUUUUCAAUGGCCAUAUAUUCAUCUGAAACCGUGUUGCAAUGUUCGUUGACAGCUUGAUAUUUCUGUGGCUGUGACGAUUGCAAACCAAGAAAAUAUACCCUGUAAUUUUCUUUUAUUUAUUUUUCGUUUCUCAGCAACCAAAUGGACAUCGCAGGAGGGUCGACUUCAAUGCAUGAAGGAGCUAGCGGCAAAGUACGAAGGGGAGGUGGCCAUAAGCUCAAAAACAACAUAGCCAGACAUAGCCAAUCCGGUAGUACAAGUCCUGGUGCAACGCCACUGUACCAGGUCUUCCACCAGCACCUCCAUCUAUUCAUCCUCCUUAUCCUAUUAUCGGUAUGUCUAAACCUGCAGCAACACCAUACACUGGGGAAAGCCACCACCAUAUUAUCCUCCUUUUCUGUGUAGGAAAACAAUUCCUCAUUUCGUUUAGGCUUAUCCGGUUCACAUAAAGCUGGAGGGAAAAUAUAUUAUUAUAUUCUACAUCAAACUUAUUUCACUUUUUUAA